UUAAAUCCGGGGUUUCAAGGCCGAGAGCUGAUGACGAGUCGUCUUUUAGAUGACGAAGUGGUUGAUGCCAUGCUUCCAAGAAAAGCUUCUAAGCUUCAGGUAACCAGGAACCGUACCCCAAACCGACACAGGUGGUCGGGUAGAGAAUACCAAGGCGCUUGAGAGAACUCGGGUGAAGGAACUAGGCAAAAUGGCACCGUAACUUCGGGAGAAGGUGCGCCGGCUAGGGUGAAGGAUUUACUCCGUAAGCUCUGGCUGGUCGAAGAUACCAGGCCGCUGCGACUGUUUAUUAAAAACACAGCACUCUGCAAACACGAAAGUGGACGUAUAGGGUGUGACGCCUGCCCGGUGCCGGAAGGUUAAUUGAUGGGGUUAGCGCAAGCGAAGCUCUUGAUCGAAGCCCCGGUAAACGGCGGCCGUAACGAUAACGGUCCUAAGGUAGCGAAAUUCCUUGUCGGGUAAGUUCCGACCUGCACGAAUGGCGUAACGAUGGCGGCGCUGUCUCCACCCGAGACUCAGUGAAAUUGAAAUCGCUGUGAAGGUGCAGUGUAUCCGCGGCUAGACGGAAAGACCCCGUGAACCUUUACUGUAGCUUUGCACUGGACUUUGAGCCUGCUUGUGUAGGAUAGGUGGGAGGCUUUGAAGCGUGGACGCCAGUUCGCGUGGAGCCAUCCUUGAAAUACCACCCUGGCAUGCUUGAGGUUCUAACUCUGGUCCGUAAUCCGGAUCGAGGACAGUGUAUGGUGGGCAGUUUGACUGGGGCGGUCUCCUCCUAAAGAGUAACGGAGGAGUACGAAGGUGCGCUCAGACCGGUCGGAAAUCGGUCGCAGAGUAUAAAGGCAAAAGCGCGCUUGACUGCGAGACAGACACGUCGAGCAGGUACGAAAGUAGGUCUUAGUGAUCCGGUGGUUCUGUAUGGAAGGGCCAUCGCUCAACGGAUAAAAGGUACUCCGGGGAUAACAGGCUGAUACCGCCCAAGAGUUCAUAUCGACGGCGGUGUUUGGCACCUCGAUGUCGGCUCAUCACAUCCUGGGGCUGAAGCCGGUCCCAAGGGUAUGGCUGUUCGCCAUUUAAAGUGGUACGCGAGCUGGGUUUAGAACGUCGUGAGACAGUUCGGUCCCUAUCUGCCGUGGACGUUUGAGAUUUGAGAGGGGCUGCUCCUAGUACGAGAGGACCGGAGUGGACGAACCUCUGGUGUUCCGGUUGUCACGCCAGUGGCAUUGCCGGGUAGCUAUGUUCGGAAAAGAUAACCGCUGAAAGCAUCUAAGCGGGAAACUUGCCUCAAGAUGAGAUCUCACUGGGAACUUGAUUCCCCUGAAGGGCCGUCGAAGACUACGACGUUGAUAGGCUGGGUGUGUAAGCGUUGUGAGGCGUUGAGCUAACCAGUACUAAUUGCCCGUGAGGCUUGAUC
rnacentral:rRNA from 1 species